UUACACUGAGGAGACACAAUAUACACUUCAUUAAUCCAAAUACAGAUUCUCGGCAUUUAAUUUGAUUUUUUUUCCUUUGAACAACAUGUACACAUUUUCAUCACCAGAAAUUCACAAUUGCCAGAAAUCCCAAAUAACACCAUUUGCCAUAAUCAUUAUUCACACUUAACAGUCUAAAUCUGCUAACAUUGCAAUUUGGUGAAAAGUUGCCAAAAUUGCAAGAUUUAUAUCUAACCAUCAUCAACAUUGCUAUUCAUAUCAAACAGUAUUCUAAUACAUGUAUAACAUUUGUGGCAGCUGCCACUAGAAUAACAUUGAGUCCUAUAUUCAAUUCGGUAAAAUGCUGAUUUUCAAGUAACGUUACAUGUAUUAUAACAAACGUAUUCAUAACAAACGUUUUUUUAGCAGUUUCCUAAAAAACUAACAAAAUGUGUCAAAACACACUAACUUCGAAGAAAAAUUGUAAACUAAAUUCUUCAGAAAGGAAAUAUAAAAAAAUCUUUUGUGUGUUCUAUGUGGGUGAAUGAAAACCAGAAUUCAACUCUAAAAGGUCACCACAUUGUGUAUCAAGCCAAUAUGUCCUUCAGAAAAAUCAUGGCUACGAUCGCACAUCCCACAUUCAUUGGGCCUAACAGUUUCAUGUCCUCCGCUAUUGAUGAGAAGGCUAUAAUUUAAGGACAUAUGAAGUGUACCAGAACCUACAAUUAUCUAUGUGUCUGAUUCCAUACAACAUAAUAGGGAGAAGACUGCACAUUGAUCACAUUCAUGUAAUCGGAAAAUGGGUGAAAUCAGUUGGAAGGACACUCGCCUCCUACCAUUUAAUACAGGAUUUGGCUAAUGUUACUAAUACCUAAAUUGCAACAAGGUCUCAGCUACACUAUAUUUAAGAAAACAAAGGAAUCUAUAAUGGAAAGUAUAGUCCAAAAACUGAAACAGAAAGAUCCUAAACCUAAAACCUAUAUCAGCUCAAAAAAAAAAGAAACUUUAUCAAAGUUAAUAUCAUAUUUCCAUAUUGCACCUAACAAAAGCAUUAUGUUGACUUUAAAUUAUAAACAUUCACCGAAUAAAUUUAUCUAUACAUAGCCAUAAAAUCUGAGUAAAUAUUUUCUUGUUUAAAGUUUAUAUCAUGCAUAUUGCAAAUUUUUCAAUAGAGAUACAACUCUUUGAUAGCCGCACCGAAAUAUACAAUCAUUCAACAAAGCUCCAAUAAGAUAGUACAAUAUAAAUCUGUGUUUGAAUAUCGUUCUUGCCCUUAUUUUUAUAUAGCCUAGGGGAGCACUUCAAAGCUUGAUAUUUUUCUCAAUUUGUCAUCUUGUUGUC